UUUCCAGAGAUGGACUGGUGCCUUCGGGAACUGUGAGACAGGUGCUGCAUGGCUGUCGUCAGCUCGUGUUGUGAAAUGUUGGGUUAAGUCCCGCAACGAGCGCAACCCUUAUCCUUUGUUGCCAGCGGUUAGGCCGGGAACUCAAAGGAGACUGCCAGUGAUAAACUGGAGGAAGGUGGGGAUGACGUCAAGUCAUCAUGGCCCUUACGACCAGGGCUACACACGUGCUACAAUGGCGCAUACAAAGAGAAGCGACCUCGCGAGAGCAAGCGGACCUCAUAAAGUGCGUCGUAGUCCGGAUUGGAGUCUGCAACUCGACUCCAUGAAGUCGGAAUCGCUAGUAAUCGUGGAUCAGAAUGCCACGGUGAAUACGUUCCCGGGCCUUGUACACACCGCCCGUCACACCAUGGGAGUGGGUUGCAAAAGAAGUAGGUAGCUUAACCUUCGGGAGGGCGCUUACCACUUUGUGAUUCAUGACUGGGGUGAAGUCGUAACAAGGUAACCGUAGGGGAACCUGCGGUUGGAUCACCUCCUUACCUUAAAGAA
rnacentral:rRNA from 1 species